rnacentral:rRNA from 1 species
GUGGGGAAUAUUGCACAAUGGGGGAAACCCUGAUGCAGCAACGCCGCGUGAGUGAUGAAGGUCUUCGGAUUGUAAAACUCUGUCUUUGGGGACGAUAAUGACGGUACCCAAGGAGGAAGCCACGGCUAACUACGUGCCAGCAGCCGCGGUAAUACGUAGGUGGCAAGCGUUGUUCGGAUUUACUGGGCGUAAAGGGAGCGUAGGCGGAUUUUUAAGUGGGAUGUGAAAUACCCGGGCUUAACCUGGGUGCUGCAUUACAAACUGGAAGUCUAGAGUACAGGAAGGGAAAGUGGAAUUCCUAGUGUAGCGGUGAAAUGCGUAGAGAUUAGGAAGAACACCGGUGGCGAAGGCGACUUUCUGGACUGUAACUGACGCUGAGGCUCGAAAGCGUGGGGAGCAAACAGGAUUAGAAACCCCGGUAGUC